GACGAACGCUGGCGGCGUGCUUAACACAUGCAAGUCGAACGGAAAGGCCCUGCUUUUGUGGGGUGCUCGAGUGGCGAACGGGUGAGUAACACGUGAGUAACCUGCCCUUGACUUUGGGAUAACUUCAGGAAACUGGGGCUAAUACCGGAUAGGAGCUCCUGCUGCAUGGUGGGGGUUGGAAAGUUUCGGCGGUUGGGGAUGGACUCGCGGCUUAUCAGCUUGUUGGUGGGGUAGUGGCUUACCAAGGCUUUGACGGGUAGCCGGCCUGAGAGGGGGACCGGCCACAUUGGGACUGAGAUACGGCCCAGACUCGUACGGGAGGCAGCAGUGGGGAAUAUUGCACAAUGGGCGGAAGCCUGAUGCAGCAACGCCGCGUGCGGGAUGACGGGCUUCGGGUUGUAAACCGCUUUCGCCUGUGACGAAGCGUGAGUGACGGUAAUGGGUAAAGAAGCACCGGCUAACUACGUG
rnacentral:rRNA from 1 species